GACGAACGCUGGCGGCGUGCUUAACACAUGCAAGUCGAACGGAAAGGCCCUGCUUUUGUGGGGUGCUCGAGUGGCGAACGGGUGAGUAACACGUGAGUAACCUGCCCUUGACUUUGGGAUAACUUCAGGAAAAUGGGGUUAAUACAGGACAGGAGCUCCUGCUGCAUGGGGGGGGUUGGAAAGUUUCGGCGGUUGGGGAUGGACUCGCGGCUUAUCAGCUUGUUGGUGGGGUAGUGGCUUACCAAGGCUUUGACGGGUAGCCGGCCUGGGAGGGUGACCGGCCACAUUGGGCCUGAGAUACGGCCCAGACUCCUACGGGAGGCAGCGGUGGGGAAUAUUGCACGAUGGGCGGAAUCCGGAUGCAGCGACGCCGCGUGCGGGAUGACGGCCUUCGGGUUGUAAACCGCUUUCGCCUGUGACGAAGAGUGAGUGACGGUAAUGGGUAAAGAAGCACCGGCUAACUACGUG
rnacentral:rRNA from 1 species